rnacentral:rRNA from 1 species
AGCGGAGGAAAAGAAACCAACAGGGAUUGCCUUAGUAGCGGCGAGUGAAGCGGCAAAAGCUCAAAUUUGAAAUCUGGCGCCUUCGGUGUCCGAGUUGUAAUUUGAAGAUUGUAACCUUGGGGUUGGCUCUUGUCUAUGUUUCUUGGAACAGGACGUCACAGAGGGUGAGAAUCCCGUGCGAUGAGAUGCCCAAUUCUAUGUAAGGUGCUUUCGAAGAGUCGAGUUGUUUGGGAAUGCAGCUCUAAGUGGGUGGUAAAUUCCAUCUAAAGCUAAAUAUUGGCGAGAGACCGAUAGCGAACAAGUACAGUGAUGGAAAGAUGAAAAGAACUUUGAAAAGAGAGUGAAAAAGUACGUGAAAUUGUUGAAAGGGAAGGGUUUGAGAUCAGACUCGAUAUUUUGUGAGCCUUGCCUUCGUGGCGGGGUGACCCGCAGCUUAUCGGGCCAGCAUCGGUUUGGGCGGUAGGAUAAUGGCGUAGGAAUGUGACUUUACUUCGGUGAAGUGUUAUAGCCUGCGUUGAUGCUGCCUGCCUAGACCGAGGACUGCGAUUAUCAAGAUGC